UCUAGCUUGCUAGAAGUGGAUUAGUGGCGCACGGGUGAGUAAUGCAUAGGUUAUGUGCCCCAUAGUCUGGGAUAGCCACUGGAAACGGUGAUUAAUACCGGAUACUCCUUACGAGGGAAAGUUUUUCGCUAUGGGAUCAGCCUAUGUCCUAUCAGCUUGUUGGUGAGGUAAUGGCUCACCAAGGCUAUGACGGGUAUCCGGCCUGAGAGGGUGAACGGACACACUGGAACUGAGACACGGUCCAGACUCCUACGGGAGGCAGCAGUAGGGAAUAUUGCUCAAUGGGCGAAAGCCUGAAGCAGCAACGCCGCGUGGAGGAUGAAGGUUUUAGGAUUGUAAACUCCUUUUGUUAGAGAAGAUUAUGACGGUAUCUCACGAAUAA
rnacentral:rRNA from 1 species